GAUGAAGAACGUAGUGAAAUGCGAUAAGUAAUGCGAAUUGCAGAAUCCGUGAGUCAUCGAGUCUUUGAACGCACAUUGCGCCCCCUGGUAUUCCGGGGGGCAUGCCUGUCCGAGCGUCAUUGCUGCCCUCAAGCACGGCUUGUGUGUUGGGCCUCCGUCCUCCUCCCGGGGGACGGGCCCGAAAGGCAGCGGCGGCACCGCGUCCGGUCCUCGAGCGUAUGGGGCUUCGUCACCCGCUCUUGUAGGCCCGGCCGGCGCUUGCCGACACAUCAAUCUUUUUUCCAGGUUGACCUCGGAUCAGGUAGGGAUACCCGCUGAACUUAAGCAUAUCAAUAAGCGGAGGA
rnacentral:misc_RNA from 1 species